rnacentral:rRNA from 1 species
CCUACGGGUGGCAGCAGUGGGGAAUAUUGCACAAUGGGGGAAACCCUGAUGCAGCGACGCCGCGUGAAUGAAGAAGUAAUUCGUUAUUUAAAGCUCUAUCAGCAGGGAAGAAAAUGACGGUACCUGAGUAAUAAGCGCCGGCUAACUACGUGCCAGCAGCCGCUGUAAUACGUAGGGGGCAAGCGUUAUCCGGAUUUACGGGGUGGAAAGGGAGCGUAGACGGGAGUGCAAGUCUGGAGUGAAAGGCGGGGGGUCAACCCCCGGACCGCUCUGGAAACUGGACGGCUGGAGUGCAGGAGAGGUAAGUGGAAUUCGUAGUGUAGCGGUGAAAUGCGUAGAUAUUAGGAGGAACACCAGUGGCGAAGGCGGCUUACUGGACUGUAACUGACGCUGAGGCUCGAAAGCGUGGGGAGCAAACAGGAUUAGAUACCCUUGUAGUC